UACAGAGGAGCCAAGCGUUGUCCGGAUUGACUGGGCGUAAAGCGCACGCAGGCGUCUGGCGCGUGGGGUGUGAAAUCUGGCCGCUUAACGGCCAGGCGCCAUCCCAUACGGCUAGACUGGAGGGCUGCAGAGGUCGAUGGAAUUGCCGGUGUAGUGGUGAAAUGCGUAGAGAUCGGCAGGAACACCCAGGGGGAAACCAGUCGACUGGGCAGCACCUGACGCUGAGGUGCGAGAGCGUGGGGAGCGAACCGG
rnacentral:rRNA from 1 species